rnacentral:lncRNA from 1 species
CAAGUUCCACACAGGAAGAGACACCCAGGUUCCACAGAGCAAGAGGCGGUUCCCAAGUUCCACACAGGAAGAGGCGGUUCCCAGGUUCCACACAGGAAGAGACACCCAGGUUCCACACAGGAAGAGGCGGUUCCCAGGUUCCACACAGGAAGAGGUGGUUCCCAGGUUCCACACAGGAAGAGACGCCCAGGUUCCACACAGGAAGAGGUGGUUCCCAGGUUCCACACAGGAAGAGGCGGUUCCCACAUUCCACACAGGAAGAGGCGGUUCCCAAGUUCCACACAGGAAGAGGCGGUUCCCAGGUUCCACACAGGAAGAGGCGGGGCAAGGCUCUUCUCUGCUGCAAAGCACCACCCAGAUGUGAAGUAAUGCAAAAGGCUCAACGUGGUCAAAAGAGCCCCGUUAGCCAGAAUCUAGCCUCGGUUGCAAAGCAGCUUAACAUGCAACAGCUCCCUACACGUUCUCCUGACCCCACCCUCCACCAACCCCCAAAGGCAGAAGCCAUGAAGUCAGGACAAAGAAGGGUGGUGGCCAUGAUAUCCCAUUGUUCUACAGGUACGGGACCACACAACGAGGACAAAAUAAGAGGUUUAAAUAUUCGAAAGAGCUGUCUCUACUAUAAUGUAGAUGAUACAUUUAUAAACCUGGAAAACUCACAAGAAUGGACUGUGAAGGUAUUAAAAAUAAUAAGGUAAUCUACUUGGGAGGCUGAGGCAGGGGAAUCACUUGAACAAGGGAGUUGGAGGUUGCAGUGAGCCAAGAUUGUGCCACUGGACUCCAUCCUGGUAACAGAGCA